AGGGGUGUAGCUCAGUGGUAGAGCACUUGCCUAGCAUAUGAGAGGCCCUGGGUUCCAUCCCCAGCACCUCAA
rnacentral:tRNA from 2 species